UCCCUGGUAGUCCAGUGGCUAAGACUCUGCAUUCCCAGUGCCAAUGGCCUGGUUCGAUUCCUGGUCAGGGAA
rnacentral:tRNA from 1 species